AAGUCGUAACAAGGUUUCCGUAGGUGAACCUGCGGAAGGAUCAUUAAAGAGAAACGAGCCUCUGGCUCGGGGGGCUUUCGGCCUUGCUCUUCACCCUUUGUCUACCUAUCUUUGUUGCUUUGGCGGGCCUGGAGCUCACGCCCCUGCUGGCCUCUCAGCCGGCGAGCGCCCGCCAGAGGCCCUUCAAAAUCCGAUUCUUCAGCGUUGUCCGAGCAAAACCACAAAUAAAUCAAAACUUUCAACAACGGAUCUCUUGGUUCUG
rnacentral:misc_RNA from 1 species